GACGAACGCUGGCGGCGUGCUUAACACAUGCAAGUCGAACGGAAAGGCCCUGCUUUUGUGGGGUGCUCGAGUGGCGAACGGGUGAGUAACACGUGAGUAACCUGCCCUUGACUUUGGGAUAACUUCAUGAAACUGGGGCUAAUACCGGAUAGGAGCUCCUGCUGCAUGGUGGGGGUUGGAAAGUUUCGGCGGUUGGGGAUGGACUCGCGGCUUAUCAGCUUGUUGGUGGGGUAGUGGCUUACCAAGGCUUUGACGGGUAGCCGGCCUGAGCGGGUGACCGGCCACAUUGGGACUGAGAUACGGCCCAGACUCCUACGGGAGGCAGCAGUGGGGAAUAUUGCACAAUGGGCGGAAGCCUGAUGCAGCAACGCCGCGUGCGGGAUGACGGCCUUCGGGUUGUAAACCGCUUUCGCCUGUGACGAAGCGUGAGUGACGGUAAUGGGUAAAGAAGCACCGGCUAACUACGUG
rnacentral:rRNA from 1 species